AGAUCAACAACUGUGGGCCUGCAUUUCGUGGGAGAUGGUGACAACAGAUGCCAUCCCUGCAGGAUCUCCAAGUUCACCAGGUGUAAUGGCUAAAAAAGAGAAGGCAAAUAGGAGUGUACACCGAAGCACCUGUUGUUAUGACUCCCUGUUGUUACCGGCUGUGAAAGAAUUUAAUUUGAAAUAGUCAACAGAGGGAGCUAAAAACUCUGGUCAUUUCCAUGUCAGGUUCAAGGUGGAAAGAAACUUAGAAUAAAAUGAAGCAUCCCAGCCUCGAGUUUCAGCUGUGCCGCUAACCAGCUUAAUAAUACAGUUGAGUCAGGACUCUGGCCCUGCGAGUUUCCUCAUCUCUGAAAACCUGCUAAAAAACUUCGUUCUCUAUUAAAAGGUUCAAGGUGGAAAGAAACUUAGAAUAAAAUGAAGCAUCCCAGCCUCGAGUUUCAGCUGUGCCGCUAACCAGCUUAAUAAUACAGUUGAGUCAGGACUCUGGCCCUGCGAGUUUCCUCAUCUCUGAAAACCUGCUAAAAAACUUCGUUCUCUAUUAAAAGAGAGAGCAAACCAAAACGGACACCGUGGAGAAAACAAAGGUUGAGAACUGGAUAAAACAUAGACGGCAUCUGUCAGCAUGAAAAUAAAGAAUAAACAAAAAGGAGAAAAGGGACAAAUAACUUGAUUAUUUGUCAACAGAGAUGGAUUACUGUGAGACACUCAAUCUCUUAUGUAUCAGUGUCCCCGAAUUAUUAAGAAAAGGCUAGACAAAAUGGUGCAUCUACAGAACUCUACACCUAAAAGUAGCAGGAUACACAUUCUUCUCAAGUACACAUGGAACAUUUUACAGAAUAGACCACAUACUAGGCCACAAAAGGAGCCUCAGUAAAUUCAAAAAGAUUGAAACUCUACCACCCAACAUCUCAGAUUAUAAAAAGCAUAUAAAACUAGAAAUAAAUUGUACAAAGAAAACAAAGAGCCUCACAAACACAUGGAGCUUAACAACAUGCUCCUAAAUAAUCAAUGGAUUAACAACCAAAGUAAAACAGAGAUGGAGCAACAUAUGGAGACAAAUGAAAACAACAGCACAAUGCCCGAACUUCUCUGGGACGCAGCAAAGGCAGUUCUAAGAGUAAAGUAUAUAGCAAUCCAGGCCUAUUUAAAAAAGGAAGAACAAUCCCAAAUGAAAAGUCUAAAUUCACAAUACUUGAAACCGGAAAAAGAAGAACAAAUGAUGCCCAGAGUCAGUAGAAGGAGGAACAUAAUAAAGAUCACAGAAGAAAUAAAUAAAAUUGAGAAUAAAACACUAGAACAAAUCAAUGAAACCAAGAGCUGGUUUUUUCAGAAAAUAAAGAAAAUAGAUAAACCCCUAGUUUUAACUAUUUUUAAGAGGAACAGAGAAUCUAUUCAUAUAAACAGAAUCAGAAAUGAGAAAGGAAAAAUCACUACAGACACCACAGAAAUACAAGGAAUUAUUAGAGAAUACUAUGAAAGUCUAUAUGGUAACAAAUGGGAUAACCUAGAAGAAAUGGACAACUUUCUACAAAAAUACAAGUGACCAAGGAAGAAACAGAAAAUCUAAACAGACCAAAUAGCAACAACAAAAUUGAAUUGGUAAUCAAAAAGCUACCCAAGAACAAAAAUUUUGGGUCUGAUGGAUUCACCACUGAAUUUCAUCAUCAGACAUAUUGAGAAGACAUGAUACCCAUUCUCCUUAAAGUUUUCCAAAAAAUAGAAGAGGAGGGCAUACUUCCAAACUCAUUUUAUGAAGCCAGCAUCACACUAAUACCAAAAGCAGGGAAAGACCCCACCAGAAAGAAAAUUACAGACCAAUAUCCCUGAAGAACAUAGAUGUAAAAUUACUCAACAAAAUAUUAGCAAACCAAAUUCAAAAAUACAUCAAGAGGAUCAUAUACUAUGAUCAAGUGGGAUUCAUCUCAGGGGAUGCAAGGAUGGUACAACAUUCGAUAAUCCAUCAACAUUAUCCACCACAUGAACAAAAAGAACAAAAACCACAUGAUCAUGUCCAGAGAUGCUGAAAAAGCAUUCGACGAAAUUCAACAUCCAUUCAUGAUAAAAACUCAACAAAAUGGGUAUAGAGGGCAAGUACCUCAACAUAAUAAAGACCAUAUAUGACAAACCCACAACCAACAUCAUACUAAACAGCGAGAAGCCACAAGCUUUCCACCUAAGAUUGGGAACAAGACAGGGAUGCCCACUCUCCCCACUGUUAUUCAACAUAGUACUGGAUGUCCUAGCCAUGACAACCAGACAAAACAGAGAAAUACAAGGCAUCCAGAUUGCUAAAGAAGAAGUCAAACUGUCACUGUUUGCAGAUAACAUGAUAUUGUACAUAAAAUACCCUAAAGACUCCACACCCAAAUCACCAGAACUAAUACCUGAAUUCAGCAAAGUUGCAGGAUACAAAAUUAAUACACAGACAUCUGUUGCUUUCCUAUACACUAACGAUGAACUAGCAGAAAGGGAAAUCAGGAAAUCAAUUCCAUUCACAAUUACAUCAAAAAGGAUAAAAUACCUAGGAAUAAACCGAACCAAGGAAGUGAAAGAUCUCUACCUAGAAAACUCCAAGACAGUGCUACGAGAA